CUGCUCAGUAACACGUAGUUAACCUAACCUAUGGACGGGGAUAACCUCGGGAAACUGAGAAUAAUCCCCGAUAGAUCACGGUGCCUGGAAUGGCCCGUGGUCCAAAUGAUUUAUCGCCGUAGGAUGGGACUGCGGCCUAUCAGCUAGUUGGUGAGGUAAUGGCCCACCAAGGCUAUAACAGGUACGGGCUCUGAGAGGAGGGGCCCGGAGAUGGGUACUGAGACACGGACCCAGGCCCUAUGGGGCGCAGCAGGCGAGAAACCUUUGCAAUGUGCGAAAGCACGACAAGGUUAAUCCGAGUGUCUCCUGCUAAAGGAGUCUUUUGCCGGUCAUAGAACCACCGGUGAAUAAGGGGUGGGCAAGUUCUGGUGUCAGCCGCCGCGGUAAAACCAGCACCUCGAGUGGUCAGGAGGUUUAUUGGGCCUAAAGCAUCCGUAGCCGGCUGCUCAAGUUUUCGGUUAAAUCUAUGCGCUCAACGUAUAGGCCGCCGAAAAUACUGGGCAGCUAGGGAGUGGGAGAGGUACACGGUACUCAAUAGGAAGGGGUAAAAUCCUUUGAUCUAUUGAUGACCACCUGUGGCGAAGGCGGUGUACCAGAACACGUUCGACGGUGAGGGAUGAAAGCUGGGGGAGCAAACCGGAUUAGAUACCCGGGUAGUCCCAGCUGUAAACGAUGCAGACUCGGUGAUGCAUUGGCUUGUGGCCAAUGCAGUGCCGCAGGGAAGCCGUUAAGUCUGCCGCCUGGGAAGUACGUACGCAAGUAUGAAACUUAAAGGAAUUGGCGGGGGAGCACCACAAGGGGUGAAGCCUGCGGUUCAAUUGGAGUCAACGCCAGAAAUCUUACCUGGGGCGACAGCAGAAUGAAGGUCAAGCUGAAGACUUUACCA
rnacentral:rRNA from 1 species